rnacentral:lncRNA from 1 species
CUCCACAACCCCAAUGCCCCCACCAUCUGCAACUUCAGACAGCUGCCAAGGCAGGAGGUAAUCUGAACCCGUAUCUUCAUUCAUUCGGCAGCGCAUGUAUGGAUCCACAGAGAGAUACAGGGUUCUAACACGUACUUGUCCCUCUUGCACUGUGUCUGGUAUCGUACUUUGCUCCAGUCUGAAGUUUUCAGCCACUGGCACUCCAUUCUUACCAGGGCGUGAAUUCAGCACUACUCUUUGUAUAAUCAUCCCUGCUUUUGCAGCCAUUUCACACUGGACUCCUUGAGCCCCUCCUGCAGCGCCCCAGCACGACCCCCACAGCGCCAACGGGUGGCCGAGCGGC